GGAUGUGAGGGCAAUCUGGCUGUGACAUCUGUCACCCCAUUGAUCUCCAGGGUUGAUUCAGCUGAUCUGGCUGGCUAGGCAGAUAUCCCCUUGCUCCCUCACCACUCCAUGUGCGUCCCUCCCAAAGCUGCAUUCUCCCCAAAUAGAAACUGACUGGUCUUCGGUCGAGGGUAUGCAAGUAGAUUUUCUCCCCUGCUAGAACCUCCAAACAAGUUCUCAAGACAGAGACAAUGAUGAUAAGGGGGGGCUGGGGUUGUGGUGGUCUCAGCAGAGCACACAUGUUACCAUGUGCAAAGACCUGG
rnacentral:snRNA from 1 species